UUCUUGUGCAUUUAUAGUGUUUUUACUUAGUAAAGUAGUCUUUUAAGCUAGUUUUAUGUGUUUUCAGGUUCUAUGGGCAAAGUAUGCAAAGAGGUGCGAAAUGGAGCAUUUUAGAGCAAAAUUGAGCUGGAAUGGAGUGUAUGCUAAUGGAGCACAAGGAAUGGACGAGUUUGAAGGUCAAAGGAGCUUAAGAAAUGAAGAAAUGCAAGUGAAGAACAAAGAAUUCAGAUUUGGAAACCAAAGUUUCUAAAGUUGGAAGUUUCUAUUCUUGGAGGUUUCCAUUUUCGAGAGUUUCUAUUCUUGGCUUUGGGCUUUUAGAUGACCUAAACCCUAAUUCCUUGUGGACCCUAACCCUAGCCGCACCUAGGCCUCUAGAAUAUCUGAUUUCCUUGCCUUGCAAGGCGUUCUAGAAGGCCCAUCUCUAAACCCUAACCCUAGCCGCACCUUAGGCCUUAUUCCCACUAAAAAUCUGAUUGUUUUAACCUAAUUUCUAGUGGAUUUGGGCUUCUAGAAACCCUAAUCUGAUUACCCUAGGGUUUUGGAUGCCUAUAUAUACUCAUUACAACCCCUAGAUCAGAUCACAAACCCUCUCCAUAAUCCAGAAAUUAAUCCUUCACGCCAGAAAUCAUUCCCCAUCUUCAACAGCACCUAUC
rnacentral:lncRNA from 1 species